rnacentral:lncRNA from 1 species
AUAAUUCCUAAUCUAGAUAUAUCACAUAACAUAUUCAUAUACUUUUCACACAUUGACCACACGUUACAGAAAUAGCUAAGAGAUUUUUUCUUUGUUGGAGAACAAGAAGAAGAUGGACAACAUGAGAAAAAGCGUGUGCUUUCUCAGUUAUCACUUAUAUGAAUUUAGUUUCUACCUAUUAUUAAAAUUAAAGUACUUAUUUUGUAUCACAUCUACAAAAUAAUUAAUCUUCUUGAUUAAUUCACUUACUCGCUUAAUUAAGUAUCAGAUAAUAAUUACUUGACCAAUAAUAAAUGUUCAAAAAAAAUUAAAAAGA